rnacentral:lncRNA from 1 species
AUGUGUGUGUGUGUGUGUGUGUGUGUACAGUGUGUGUGUGUGUGUAGUGUGUGUGUGUGUGUACAGUGUGUGUGUAGUUUGUGUGUGUACAGUGUGUGUGUGUGUGUGUACAGUAUGUGUGUGUGUGUGUGUACAGUGUGUAUACAGUGUGUGUACAGUGUGUGUGUGUGUGUGUACAGUGUGUGUGUGUGUACAGUGUGUGUACAUGUGUGUGUGUGUACAGUGUGUGUGUACAGUGUGUGUGUACAGUAUGUGUGUGUGUGUGUACAGUGUGUAUACAGUGUGUGUACAGUGUGUGUGUGUGUGUACAGUGUGUGUGUGUGUACAGUGUGUGUGUGUGUACAGUGUGUGUACAGUGUGUGUGUGUGUACAGUGUGUGUGUACAGUGUGUGUGUACAGUGUGUGUGUGUGUGUGUGUGUGUGUGUGUGUACAGUGUGUGUGUGUUUGUGUGUGUGUACAGUGUGUGUGUGUACAGUGUGUGUGUGUGUACAGUGUGUGUGUGUACAGUGUGUGUGUGUGUACAGUGUGUGUGUACAGUGUGUGUGUGUGUGUGUACAGUGUGUGUACAGUGUGUGUGUGUGUGUACAGUGUGUGUGUGUGUGUACAGUGUGUGUGUGUGUACAGUGUGUGUGUGUACAGUGUGUGUGUGUGUGUACAGUGUGUGUGUGUGUGUGUACAGUGUGUGUGUGUGUACAGUGUGUGUGUGUGUGUGUACAGUGUGUGUGUGUGUGUACAGGGUGUGUGUGUGUGUACAGUGUGUGUGUGUACAGUGUGUGUGUGUACAGUGUGUGUGUGUGUGUACAGGGUGUGUGUGUGUGUGUACAGUGUAUGUGUGUACAGUGUGUGUGUGUGUGUGUACAGUGUGUGUGUGUGUGUACAGGGUGUGUGUGUGUGUGUGUGUACAGUGUAUGUGUGUACAGUGUGUGUGUGUGUGUGUACAGUGUGUGUGUGUGUGUGUACAGUGUGUGUACAGUGUGUGUGUGUGUGUACAGUGUGUGUGUGUGUGUACAGUGUGUGUGUGUGUACAGUGUGUGUGUGUGUACAGGGUGUGUGUGUGUGUACAGUGUGUGUGUGUACAGUGUGUGUGUGUACAGUGUGUGUGUGUGUGUACAGGGUGUGUGUGUGUGUGUACAGUGUAUGUGUGUACAGUGUGUGUGUGUGUGUGUACAGUGUGUGUGUGUGUGUACAGUGUGUGUACAGUGUGUGUGUGUGUGUACAGUGUGUGUACAGUGUGUGUGUGUGUGUACAGGGUGUGUGUGUGUGUGUGUGUACAGUGUAUGUGUGUACAGUGUGUGUGUGUGUACAGUGUGUGUGUGUACAGUGUGUGUGUGUGUGUACAGUGUGUGUGUGUGUGUGAUAUUAUUAUUAUUAAAUUGUAUUAA